UGAGGAAUAUUGGUCAAUGGACGGAAGUCUGAACCAGCCAAGUCGCGUGAAGGAUGACUGCCCUAUGGGUUGUAAACUUCUUUUGUAUUGGGAGAAUAAGCCUUACGUGUAAGGUGAUGACUGUACAAUACGAAUAAGCAUCGGCUAACUACGUGCCAGCAGCCGCGGUAAUACGUAGGUGGCAAGCGUUAUCCGGAAUUAUUGGGCGUAAAGGGUGCGUAGGUAGUGCAUUAAGUCUGAAGUAAAAGCCAGUAGCUCAACUACUGUAAGCUUUGGAAACUGGUGUACUAGAGUGCAGAAGAGGAUAGUGGAAUUCCAUGUGUAGCGGUAAAAUGCGUAGAUAUAUGGAGGAACACCAGUGGCGAAGGCGGCUGUCUGGUCUGUAACUGACACUGAGGCACGAAAGCGUGGGGAGCAAAUA
rnacentral:rRNA from 1 species